AGAGUUUGAUCCUGGCUCAGGACGAACGCUGGCGGCGCGCCUAACACAUGCAAGUCGAACGGAGCUGAGAGGAGCUUGCUUUUCUCAGCUUAGUGGCGAACGGGUGAGUAACGCGUGAGUAACCUGCCCUGGAGUGGGGGACAACAGUUGGAAACGACUGCUAAUACCGCAUAAGCCCACGGAUCUGCAUGGAUCUGCGGGAAAAGGAUUUAUUCGCUCUAGGAUGGACUCGCGUCCAAUUAGCUAGUUGGUGAGGUAACGGCCCACCAAGGCGACGAUUGGUAGCCGGACUGAGAGGUUGAACGGCCACAUUGGGACUGAGACACGGCCCAGACUCCUACGGGAGGCAGCAGUGGGGGAUAUUGCACAAUGGGGGAAACCCUGAUGCAGCGACGCCGCGUGGAGGAAGAAGGUUUUCGGAUUGUAAACUCCUGUCGUUAGGGACGAUAAUGACGGUACCUAACAAGAAAGCACCGGCUAACUACGUGCCAGCAGCCGCGGUAAAACGUAGGGUGCAAGCGUUGUCCGGAAUUACUGGGUGUAAAGGGAGCGCAGGCGGACCGGCAAGUUGGAAGUGAAAACUAUGGGCUCAACCCAUAAAUUGCUUUCAAAACUGCUGGCCUUGAGUAGUGCAGAGGUAGGUGGAAUUCCCGGUGUAGCGGUGGAAUGCGUAGAUAUCGGGAGGAACACCAGUGGCGAAGGCGGCCUACUGGGCACCAACUGACGCUGAGGCUCGAAAGUGUGGGUAGCAAACAGGAUUAGAUACCCUGGUAGUCCACACCGUAAACGAUGAUUACUAGGUGUUGGAGGAUUGACCCCUUCAGUGCCGCAGUUAACACAAUAAGUAAUCCACCUGGGGAGUACGACCGCAAGGUUGAAACUCAA
rnacentral:rRNA from 1 species